rnacentral:rRNA from 1 species
AGUGAACGCUGGCGGUAGGCCUAACACAUGCAAGUCGAACGGCAGCACAGUAAGAGCUUGCUCUUACGGUUGGCGAGUGGCGGGCGGGUGAGGAAUACAUCGGCAUCUUCUUUUUCGUGGGUGAUAACGUAGGGCCACUUACGCUAAUACCUCAUACGACCUACGGGUGAAAUCAGAGGAUCUUCGCACCUUGCGCGUCUGAAUGAGCCGAUGUCGGAUUAGCUAGUUGGCGGGGUAAAGGCACACCAAGGCGACGAUCCGUAGCUGGUCUGAGAGGAUGAUCAGCCACACUGGAACUGAGACACGGUCCAGACUCCUACGGGAGGCAGCAGUGGGGAAUAUUGGGCAAUGGGCGCAAGCCUGACCCAGCCAUACCGCGUGGGUGAAGAAGGCCUUCGGGUUGUAAAGCCCUUUUGUUGGGAAAGAAAAGCAGCAGGUUAAUACCCCGCUGUUCUGACGGUACCCAAAGAAUAAGCACCGGCUAACUUCGUG